rnacentral:rRNA from 1 species
UACGUAGGGUGCAAGCGUUGUCCGGAAUUAUUGGGCGUAAAGAGCUCGUAGGCGGUCUGUCGCGUCGGGAGUGAAAACAUCGGGCUUAACUCGAUGCUUGCUUUCGAUACGGGCAGACUUGAGGUAUGCAGGGGAGAAUGGAAUUCCUGGUGUAGCGGUGAAAUGCGCAGAUAUCAGGAGGAACACCGGUGGCGAAGGCGGGUCACUGGACUGGUAUUGACGCUGAGGUGCGAAAGCGUGGGGAGCAAACAGG